UACGGGGGGGGCAAGCGUUGUUCGGAAUUACUGGGCGUAAAGGGCUCGUAGGCGGCCAACUAAGUCCGACGUGAAAUCCCAAGGCUUAACCUUGGAACUGCGUCGGAUACUGGAUGGCUUGAAUUCGGGAGAGGGAUGCAGAAUUCCAGGUGUAGCGGUGAAAUGCGUAGAUAUCGGGAAGAACACCCGUGGCGAAGGCGGUUCUCUGGGACGGUACUGACGCUGAGACGCGAAAGCGUGGGGAGCGAACAGG
rnacentral:rRNA from 1 species